rnacentral:rRNA from 1 species
UACGUAGGUGGCAAGCGUUGUCCGGAUUUACUGGGCGUAAAGGAUGCGUAGGCGGACAUUUAAGUCAGAUGUGAAGUACCCGAGCUUAACUUGGGUGCUGCAUUUGAAACUGGGUGUCUAGAGUGCAGGAGAGGUAAGUGGAAUCCUAGUGUAGCGGUGAAAUGCGUUAGAGAUUAGGAAGAACACCAGUGGCGAAGGCGACUACUGGACUGUAACUGACGCUGAGGCAUGAAAGCGUGGGGAGCAAACAGG